GACGAACGCUGGCGGCGUGCCUAAUGCAUGCCAGUCGCACGCGGCACCUUCGGGUUCUGAGUGCCGAACGGCUGAGGAACCCGUGGGGACCUGUCCGGGAGUGGUGGACAACACCGCGAAAUCGGUGCUAAUCCCCCAUACUCUCUGCGGAGGAAAUCCGAAAGGCUCUCCCGGGUGGCCCUGCGGCCCAUCAGGUUGUUGGUGGGGUAACGGCCUACCAAGCCAAUGACGGGUCGCUGGUCUGUGAGGACGACCAGCCAGACUGGAACUGGGACACGGCCCAGAAUCCUACGGGAGGCAGCAGCAAGGAAUUUGCGGAAAUGGGCGCAAGCCUGGCCGGGCAACGCCGCGUGCAGGAAGGCGGCCUUCGGGUUGUAAACUGCUUUUGAUAGGGAUGAUACCAGACAGUACCUGGCCAAUCAGCCCCGGCUAACUCUGUG
rnacentral:rRNA from 1 species